rnacentral:RNase_P_RNA from 1 species
AAGGUGGGACGAUCUGUCGCGCUGCGUGGCUCCGGCCACGGGUGAGGAAAGUCCGGACAGGAAAGGGCACCCUGCUGAGGAAAGCUCAGAUGGGAGUAAUCUUAUCGCAAGGUAACAGAAAACAACCGCCGUUACCAUUGGGUCACGACUCAAUCCGACGGUAAGGGUGAAAACGCGAGGCAAGAGCUCACGACGUGCGUCGGCGACGCCGCACGGGUACAUUGCAAGGGCCUGCAAAACCAAAUAUACUGGCAAAUGAGAGCUGCCCGUUCGAUGCCAGGGGGUAGGUUGCGUAGAUAAAUGACAGAAUAGAACAGAAACCGGCUUACGGUCCCGCCUUUUUU